AGUCGUAACAAGGUCUCCGUUGGUGAACCAGCGGAGGGAUCAUUACCGAGUGUAAAAACUCCCAAACCAUUGUGAACCUACCACUGUUGCUUCGGCGGCCUCGCCCCGGGCGCGUUCGCGCGGCCCGGACCCAGGCGUCCGCCGGAGGCUCCAAACUCUUGUCUUUUAGUGUAUUUCUGAGUGGCAUAAGCAAAUAAAUCAAAACUUUCAGCAACGGAUCUCUUGGUUCUGGCAUCGAUGAAGAACGCAGCAAAAUGCGAUAAGUAAUGUGAAUUGCAGAAUUCAGUGAAUCAUCGAAUCUUUGAACGCACAUUGCGCCCGCCAGUAUUCUGGCGGGCAUGCCUGUCUGAGCGUCAUUUCAACCCUCAGGACCCGUUCGCGGGACCUGGCGUUGGGGAUCAGCCUGCCCCUGGCGGCGGCUGGCCCUGAAAUCCAGUGGCGGUUCCCUCGCGAACUCCUCCGUGCAGUAAUUAAACCUCUCGCGGCAGGAUAGCGGUUGAACCACGCCGUUAAACCCCCCACUUCUCAAGGUUGACCUCAGAUCAGGUAGGAAUACCCGCUGAACUUAAGCAUAUCAAUAAGCGGAGGAA
rnacentral:misc_RNA from 2 species